rnacentral:rRNA from 1 species
GUGCAGCAGUCGAGAAAACUUCACACUGUGCGAAAGCACGAUGAGGGAAUCCCAAGUGCUUGCACGUAAGUGUAAGCUGUUUCUCUGUCUAAAACGCAGAGAGAGUAAGGGCUGGGUAAGACGGGUGCCAGCCGCCGCGGUAAUACCUGCAGCUCAAGUGGUGACCGUUAUUAUUGGGCCUAAAACGUCCGUAGCCGGUUUAAUAAAUGCCUGGGUAAAUUGUGUAGCUUAACUAUACGAAUUCCGGGUAGACUGUUAAACUUGAGACCGGGAGAAGUUAGAGGUACUCCUGGGGUAGAGGUGAAAUUCUGUAAUCCUAGGGGGACCACCAGUGGCGAAGGCGUCUAACUAGAACGGGUCUGACGGUGAGGGACGAAGCCCUGGGGCGC